rnacentral:lncRNA from 1 species
UGACAGAAAGUUGCCGAGGACCAAAUCACUAUGCGCUCGAAGUUGUGGGGACGAAAUGGGACAAUAUCCCAAGUCCUAUGCGCUUCGUUUCAUUUGUCCAGGUCGGGGACUAAAUCAGAAAUGAAAUACAAUAAUAGGGCAAAAAAAAAAACACGAAUCAGGACCACAUUGUAAUGCGGUUCAAAAUCAAAGGGACUCGCCACAUAAAUAGCCCCAUUUUUUGUUUUAUCUCAUUUAGCCCUAGGAAACUUUAAAAGAACGCAGCCCCUUCCAUCCUCUCCCCCUCUUUCUUGCGACUAGAGUCUCAAAGCCCUCAUGGCCGCCGUUGCCAUGGUACCACCGCAGGUGGUGGUCGAUGACUCGAGGAGAAGGGUUUGUUCGACCCCUUUUGGAUCCAUAUUCGGGGAUCUAGUAUUUCCUCCAUGAGAAAUCGAAAUGGAAGCCCCCCAUCUUCGUUGGAUUCGGUUCAAACGGAGAAGAACUCCGACAGUGCCGACGGUUCAAGAUUUAGGUAACAGCUUUCUCUCUUCCUUUUCUUCUUUUUCGUUUUAAAACAGAUUUUUUGUAAAGAAAAUAAAAAAAAAAUAAAACAGAAGAUGUAUAUACAAAUAAAGAAACGGAAAUGAAGGGACGCAAGAAUGAAUUUCAACCCCUUUUUUUUCUGAUUGCUUGAAUCCUGGUACAAAACUUUUGUUCUUUUUAUUUCUUUUUUCCCUUUUUUAGAAUACCAUCGGUUCCCCCUAAAAUACAAUCGAUUCCCCCUUUGAAAUAUCAAAAAUCCUCCCCCCAUUAAUACCUUCGUUUCUUCUCGGCUUUAUAGUAGGUUACAAUAUUAGGAAAAUAUUAUUUAUUUUUGUCAUUUUCGUUUGUCUGCUUCUGUCUUGGUGUCUGCUUCAUUUUGCAGGUGUCAGAUGACCCUCAGAGGCGUGCGGGGUGGCGAUGACAGAGGCGUGGUGGCCGAGCACGCGUGGGGAGGCCAAUGGUUCGGCGGCCACAUGCUUGGGGCUAGGGUUUUUUACUUGUUUAGCAGAAAAUAUUUUGUGGGCUAAGUUUUUAUGUUUAUUGGGCUUAUUGGGCUUGCAACUAGGUAAUGGGUUUUGUCAUUGUUUUAUUUGGUUUUUGAGCCUCGGGCAAAAUUUGGGCCAUACAAUCAUUUAAUUAAUCGUGUUUGUUUUUUUUGGUUCAGUUCUAUUAAUUGUCAGUUAAACCUAAUCGUAAGUCGAACCACUUGCCUAGCCCCGAAGGCUCACCUAAAAAGUGGAAGGAUUUGGGAAAAUAUAUAGGCCCGGAAAAUGCGCUUAAACAAAAAAUAAGGUCCGUUUUCUAAACAAGUCAGGCCUAGGGUAAGAUUUUUUUGGCUUAAGCCGGUCCGAAAUUACUUAAUUUUUUUUACUGUUAUUUUGCUAUCCUUUGUUGUUAUUUGCUGUCAUUUUGAUGUUGUUUUGCUACCAUUUUGUUAUUAGUGUUUAGAUAUUGUAUAAUUCUUGCACUACAGGAAAAUAGGGCUUUAGCGGCGUUUUAUCAAAAAACGCCGCAAAAAUUGUAAAACACAGAGCAAUAGCCGCUAAAAACUGAGCAAUAGCGGCGCUUUUGGUAAAACGCCGCUAAAAGACAGAGCUUUAGCGGCGUUUUUGGUAAAACAGACAGAGAUUUAGCGGCGCUUUUGGUAAAACGCCGCUAAAAGACAGCACAUUAGCGAUGCUUUUAGUAAAACGUCGCUAAAAGACAGAGCAGUAGCGGCGCUUUUAGUAAAACGCCGCUAAAAGACAGAGCAUUAGCGGCGCUUUUGGUAAAACGCCGCUAAAAGUCAUAUAACUCUUAAAAUCUUAAACCCCAAAAAAAUCAUAAGCACUGCUUUAUAACCCCUAAAAUA